rnacentral:lncRNA from 1 species
UUGAUUCUAUAAUAAUGGUAUUUCCUAAUAAUCGGAGUCCUUUUCUACCCAUGCAGAUCUGAAAGAUGGAAAAAUGCAGCUAAUACCACGAGAUCAGGAAGGGAUGUCUGGGAGUCCUGACUGGAAAAUGGAAGAACUUUCCAAAAGGGGAAAGACUCUGAAAGCCGACAUCAGGUCCAGUCAGGUAAAAAGAACAUCCUUGUUUCAUCUGAAGUUAAAAGGAGUCCAAAGCCAGCGACAGGAUCCCCUCUCUUGGCUGGCUAAACAGAUUGAAGUGGUGAGCAUCAGCUUGACUUCCAGAGAUGAUCAGAUUGUCCUAACAAUGGGAAGGAAUCAGAAAGCUUUAGUCAGCAUGGAACUUGCUACCAGAA